rnacentral:tRNA from 1 species
GGAUAUAUAACUCAGCCCGGAAGAGUGUCAUGUUGACAUCGUGAAAGUCACCUGUUCAAAUCAGGUUAUAUCCA